GUGGGGAAUAUUGGACAAUGGGCGAAAGCCUGAUCCAGCCAUGCCGCGUGUGUGAAGAAGGUCUUCGGAUUGUAAAGCACUUUAAGUUGGGAGGAAGGGCAGUAAGUUAAUACCUUGCUGUUUUGACGUUACCGACAGAAUAAGCACCGGCUAACUUCGUGCCAGCAGCCGCGGUAAUACGAAGGGUGCAAGCGUUACUCGGAAUUACUGGGCGUAAAGCGCGCGUAGGUGGUUUUGUAAGUUGGAGGUGAAAUCCCCGGGCUCAACCUGGGAACUGCCUCCAAAACUGCAUGACUAGAGUACGGUAGAGGGUAGUGGAAUUUCCUGUGUAGCGGUGAAAUGCGUAGAUAUAGGAAGGAACACCAGUGGCGAAGGCGACUACCUGGACUGAUACUGACACUGAGGUGCGAAAGCGUGGGGAGCAAACAGGAUUAGAAACCCGGGUAGUCC
rnacentral:rRNA from 1 species